rnacentral:misc_RNA from 1 species
UGGUUCUGGCAUCGAUGAAGAACGCAGCGAAAUGCGAUAAGUAAUGUGAAUUGCAGAAUUCAGUGAAUCAUCGAAUCUUUGAACGCACAUUGCGCCCCUUGGUAUUCCGGGGGGCAUGCCUGUUCGAGCGUCAUUACAACCCUCAAGCUCUGCUUGGUAUUGGGCCUCCCCGGCAGCGGGGUGCCCUAAAAUCAGUGGCGGUGCCGUCUGGCUCUAAGCGUAGUAAAUCUCUCGCUCUGGAGACCCGGUGGAUGCCUGCCAGUAACCCCCAAUUUUUUAAGGUUGACCUCGGAUCAGGUAGGGAUACCCGCUGA